rnacentral:rRNA from 1 species
UACGUAGGGUGCGAGCGUUGUCCGGAAUUACUGGGCGUAAAGAGCUCGUAGGUGGUUUGUCGCGUUGUUCGUGAAAACCGGGGGCUUAGCCCUCGGCGUGCGGGCGAUACGGGCAGACUUGAGUACUGCAGGGGAGACUGGAAUUCCUGGUGUAGCGGUGGAAUGCGCAGAUAUCAGGAGGAACACCGGUGGCGAAGGCGGGUCUCUGGGCAGUAACUGACGCUGAGGAGCGAAAGCGUGGGGAGCGAACAGG